UUUGAGAAGAAGCCCACUGAAGAUCAUAAAAGCACAGAAUUCUCAUGAGAUCUGAUAAAAGCUGAGGGUCUUAUUGUCAGAUCACAGGCCAUUUUAUUUUAAUGUGGUUCUGUCACUUUAAGACUCAGGUGUGUCAGUGUUGGCAGGCUGCCGUUUAAAAAGAAAAGAGAAAUUAAUCCAAAGAGGAACACUUUAUACUUCUCCUUUUAUGUUAUUCCACGCCAUCUUCUCCUUCUUCAGACUAAUAAGACAUUAAGAACAUGAAAGACUGACAUAUUGUGCAUGAAGUUCACAGACCCCUGAUGAAGGACAAAUGCUCGUGCUGUGUGAGCUCUAAACGUGGAGAGUGGAGAGAAAACAAAGUGAAAGCAGACUCACCAGUCCAGAACAAUAGAGACAGAAGAAAAGAACAAAUUCCAGUUGGUGACCACUGGGUGGGCCAGUCUGAUGCCGAUGUUCCUUGGGGGGCUACAAUAAGGCAAAGGCACUUGAUGCCACGGCCCACCUGCCAAGUUGUUUUAUC